AAAGUGACAAAUAACUGUUUGAAAAUGUUUAUAUAUUCUUGCCAUAUUUCAAAACUUUGAAGGUUCUUUAAAAGUGAAAACAACCUAAAUUAAGUAAAUGAAAAACUACAUGGAAAUCUCAAGUUUUCUAACACACAUGCCUAGCAGAAUUUCACUUUUCCAACAUAAAAAGAUUAAUACUACGGCAACUAUGCAUUACAGAGCAUUCAAAUGCUCUUCUGACUUUUAAAUCAAAUUAUUUCACUGUAGGGCAAUGUAGUCACACUGAUACCAGCUGUACUAAAUCUCAAUUUUCAGCCAGAUAAAACUGAGAUGGCAUGAUUUAGAACAAUUCAAUAACACCCAUAAAAUUUUUACUACAUUCCAAAGGUAAAAAAUGUUUGAGCAAGAAAAAUAAUUACAUGAGGCAUCUUAUUACAAAAUGUAGUGUAUGCUGUUUUGAUUUCCCAUUGAAAACUAAUUCAAAAAUCCCACUGCACUCAGCUAGUCACCCCAUAGAACUUUAAUAGAAUAAAGGUAGAAUAAAAACGAUUUGCAAAAAAUAACCUUAUACAGAAAAACAAGAAACAGCAGCUAUUUAUCAUGUGAUGGUGCUUGAAAAGAGCCAGCAAAAGCUUCUAAGCAACAAAGAGAGCGCUUUUUGGUCGUGCCUAUGUAGUGCAGGCACCUCCCAGCCUGCUUUCCACAGCUCUCUCCGUAUUUAAAGGCUGAUGUGGUGUUUAAAUGGAGAGGCGGUGACGUGGGGCUGGAAAGCACCUUCCCAUCCUGGCAGAGUCUAUAUUAGAGAGCGGCAAUGGCUCUAUAUAAACAGGGCAGCCACAGGGAGGAGGAACACAAGGAGCAGGGAGUGAGAAAAGCAAGGGGAAGCCAUGAUGGAUCUGAGAGCACAAAAUGAGAGCCUCCAAAUCAGCAUCAGGACUUCGUGGGACCGCGGGUCACGAACAGCUCAGACCACAACCAAAUUGGGUGCCGACCUAAACAUCCGCUAAAUGUUUCACUCAGGUCACGAACACAUCCUCGGGUGCCGAUCAAAGUCGCAAUGAUUUCCCCAUCCACACCAUUUUUUUGUAUGUGCACGCAUACACAGUCAGUCUUGCUUCUGGUCACGACCAAAUAGGGUGCCGACCGAAGUCCUGGAACGGACUACCGUCGGCACCCAAGGUCCCACUGUAUACUUGUUUCAUGGAAUCACACAACAGUAUAUUAUGUCUGUAUAUAGCCCUGCCCUUAUAUAAGAAAUACGAAAGUCAAACAAAAAAGAGCAACAGGAAGAGUGGUUAUUUAGGAGAGACUGCAAACAAAUCGGUUAAGAUUGAGCAUAAUGUAGACACUGAUUUUGGAUAAUCAAAAAUAAAGAAACAAAAAGUCCAAAUAAGAGCAAUCUUCUGUAACUUCCUAUCAAAUGUGGGUUUGAGAGAGGAAAGUACUUCAGACCUGACUUGCUUUAUUAGAUGUCAUGGGAACAGCCUACAAUAUCCCCCUUUAAAGCAUGGGUAGACUUUCCUGGUCCACAGGGAGCUGCAUGCAGCCUUUUUUGCAGCAACCAAAAUCAAUUUAAAAUGUUAAAAUGUUUUUUUUUAUUUUGUCUAUAAUUUUUUGUCUUUGAUUUUUUUUUGUCUUGCCCACCAGCUAUUAUGCUAGGAACCCGCUUUUAUAUCAUGGUUUUACCCACCGUCAGUGAUCCCAUUGCCUGUUUAACAUGGCUCUCAGUCAGUAAUACUUUGACUUUGAACUACUGUACUAAAAGAUGGCCUAUACCCUUCGUUCCUAAAGGAAAUCAACCUUGACUAUCCUUUGGAAGGACAGAUGCUGAAGUUGAAGCUCAAACACUUUGACCACCAAAUGAGAGGGGAGGACUCAUUGGAAAAGCCCCUGAUGUUGGGGAAGAUUGAAGGCAAAAGAGGAAAGGGACAACAAUUUCACCAUCCUCAGAGUCAUUUGAUUGCAAUCUUGGUGCUUGGCAACAGGCUCGCAUUUACAACAGAUACAGUGAGUUGCAGUCAUGUGAACAUAAUUUGUGGCAUUGCCAGCCAGCUUCUAACAAGCGAAGUCAAUUGAGGAUGCCGGAUUUACUUAAGGACCACUUGAUUCACUUAUCGACACCCUAAUUUGCUUACUGACUAUGAUAAUUAAGGAGGUUGUAUAGAUGGUAGUAGAAUUGGGUCUGAUCUUGUGAUGGUUCACGUAAUGAUCACUUCGUUGUGACCAAAAUUUUGGUUCCAGUUGUAGUAAGUGAAGGAAUACCUACACUGAUCUAAUGUUGCAUAGCCUUUUCUGGAUACAAUUCACAAUAUUAGAUGCAUCAUAAAUUGCAAUAUGUGUUAAUUUUAUUUAUUUACUUCUUGACCACCAUCUCCCUCAUAGAGGGACUCUGGACGGUGGGCAUGUAUUGAAGUGGGCUGUUAUAUACAAAAACCUAAGUAAUAAUAAAUUUAUCUCUAAAAUA